CGUGGUUUGAAAGGAAAUGAAGUUUUUUGUGAUGGUGUGGGCAAUCCAAUCAGUGUUCAGAUUUAAUAUUGGCACCUGGUUUGUCCACUGAGGGCAGGAUACGCCUCUGAGAACACAGGGGUUAAAAGCUGUGAUCUCCCAGGGGAACUUCCUCUUGGAGUCCCGCUUGAGAGUGAGUAGACCCCCCUGCCCAGCUCCUUUGGCUGGGCAGGGGGGGAGGGGAGCCAUGUGGCCAGAGAGAGGUAGGACAGGCCUGGGCCCAAGGGUGGAGGAGAACAUUGCAAGGGCUUCGGGCAGCCAUCCUCCAUUCCCCCACCCCCCCUGCGAGGGAGAGAGAGACAGAGCCGGUGCCUGUGGCGGCUGUGAUAGUGGCCCGGCGUGAAGGAGAAGGGGGGGGUGCCCAGCAGGGCAGCCAAGUGUGGGAGUUGACGAAGUAAACCGGCAGAGAGAGAGAGCUCGGGACUUUUAACCCCUCUGAGGAAGAUGAGAACCUUGCAAAAGCUGAGUCCUCCUGAAGUUGAUGAGAUUGAGAAGCUGUUGAGAUUGAGAAGAUGUUGAGAAAAUUCUAGGUGGGAGGAGAUGAUGGAGUGGCUUUGGGCUGGACUUUUCUUGUGUAGCCACAGCAGAACCACGGGUGUUUCUGUGCCACAGAGACUGCGUUCUAGGGGGAGGCGAUGGCUCAGAGCCAAGAGAGUGCAGUGAUGUGGAGGAGUGAACAGAGACGACGGGUGAGGAGGGUGUGGUGGUGCCCUCCACUUCGAAGAAGAGAAGAAGAAGAAGACGAUCUCUGUUCAAGAGACCCCUCGGCCCCAGGGGGUGAAAUUUGGGGGGACAAGUGUCCCAGAAGGAGAAGGACUGUGCUCCCUUUGGAACUGGUCAAAGUAUCCUUAAAAUGAAAAACCCCAGAAGCAGCUCUGAUCCAUGUGCAGUGGUGAGAGCACUGGACAUGGAAGGCGUGUGGCGCAAGAGGGACUUCUCUCUCCUCGAGAGACUGAGAAUCGAUUGUCUGAAGGGUGGCAAUGAAAUUGGAAAUUUGGUGGGGGGAGGAGGAAGAAUUUUGGAAGGUUUUCAUCUUAUGUUCUAUUGUGUUUUGUGUGUCUUCCUUUGUAGUUGUAGGUUAAUAAAUGCUUUUUUUUCUUUUUAACCUUAA